CGUGUAUGAAGAAGGCCUUCGGGUUGUAAAGUACUUUCAGCAGUGAGGAAGGUGGAGUCGUUAAUAGCGGCCUCAUUUGACGUUAGCUGCAGAAGAAGCACCGGCUAACUCCGUGCCAGCAGCCGCGGUAAUACGGAGGGUGCGAGCGUUAAUCGGAAUUACUGGGCGUAAAGCGCAUGCAGGUGGUUUGUUAAGUCAGAUGUGAAAGCCCCGGGGCUCAACCUCGGAAUUGCAUUUGAAACUGGCAGACUAGAGUACUGUAGAGGGGGUAGAAUUUCAGGUGUAGCGGUGAAAUGCGUAGAGAUCUGAAGGAAUACCAGUGGCGAAGGCGGCCCCCUGGACAAAGACUGACGCUCAGAUGCGAAAGCGUGGGGAGCAAACAGGAUUAGAUACCCUGGUAG
rnacentral:rRNA from 1 species